rnacentral:rRNA from 1 species
UACAGAGGUGGCAAGCGUUGUUCGGAAUUACUGGGCGUAAAGGGCGCGUAGGCGGCUUUUCAAGUCCUGUGUGAAAUCCCUCGGCUCAACUGAGGAAUUGCACGGGAAACUGUCUGGCUUGAGUUCGGGAGAGGGAAGUGGAAUUCCGGGUGUAGCGGUGAAAUGCGUAGAUAUCCGGAGGAACACCGGUGGCGAAGGCGGCUUCCUGGACCGACACUGACGCUGAGGCGCGAAAGCUAGGGGAG